ensembl:lncRNA
GACCAGAACAGCCCAGUCUAUCCCAGACCAGAACAGCCCAGUCUAUCCCAGACCAGAACAGCCCAGUCUAUCCCAGACCAGAUGAAAACAGUCUAGACAGACAGAGAUGGAUAGAGAGAUGUGUGCUGUUAGGUUCACAUCAACUUCCUCAUAUUAUUGCUAGCCCUAGCUCAUGUCAGCAGGGGAAAUGUAGCCGUUUUCUGCCCCAGAGUCCAGAGUCCAGAGCCCAGAGCCCAGAGUCCAGAGUCCAGAUCCCAGAUCCCAGAGUCCAGAGCCCAGAGUCCAGAGUCCAGAGCCCAGAGUCCAGAGUCCAGAGCACAGAGCCCAGAGUCCAGAGUCCAGAUCCCAGAGCCCAGAGUCCAGAGUCCAGAGCACAGAGCCCAGAGUCCAGAGUCCAGAGUCCAGAUCCCAGAUCCCAGAGUCCAGAGUCCAGAGUCCAGAGUCCAGAGCCCAGAGUCCAGAGCCCAGAGUCCAGAGUCCAGAGUCCAGAGUCCAGAGCCCAGAGUCCAGAGCCCAGAGUCCAGAGCCCAGAGCCCAGAGCCCAGAGCCCAGAGCCCAGAGCCCAGAGCCCAGAGCCCAGAGUCCAGAGUCCAGAGCACAGAGUCCAGAGCCCAGAGUCCAGAGUCCAGACAGACGUGUGUUAAGGGACUCUUUGAACUGUCUCAUUGUUUGAA